rnacentral:lncRNA from 1 species
GUGGCUCGGAGAUGCGACGGGAAACGCUGCAGCUCCGGCAAGCCGCGGGAUCCGGCGGGCUGACGGCAGGGGCCCGGCGAACUAGAGGGCGGCGGAGUCGCGAGUCAGUCAGAGGCGGGCGGUGGCGGUGGCGGCGGCUCCUCUCCUCAUUGCGCCAGGAGCAGCUGCAGGCGGCGGCUGGAUCCAGCGGCCAUGGCGGUGGCGGAGGCAGCUCCCUUCAGACCCCAGGCAGCGGCUCCUCGACUGUUCCCCAUUCGCCGGGGACAUGGGAACCCGGCAACCGCUUCCGUCCCUCGGGGCCCCCUCCCCCGUCCGCGGCAACAGCUCGGCCGCCCUCCCGCCCCUCGGCUCUGCUCGGUGCCCGCUCAGGAAGUGUCCGCGCUUUGCCCCAGCCCAGAGCCCUGUCAGCGGCUGCGGGGCCGGCUCCUCCUCGCUUCCUUCCUUCCUUUGUCACUUGGCCCGGGCGGCGGCGGCGGCGGCGGCGGCACAAGCCCGCAUUCGCCCGGGUCAGGAGCUGCUCUGUGUGAGGAGCGCUGUCUGCGCAGCCGCCUUGCACUUCCCCACUCCUCCUCCCCCCUCCUACUCGUCCUCCACCUCCUUCCUCCCCCACCCAGCCUUACACCGCCCAGCGCCCCGCCGCCCGCGUAACAGGCGUCUGGGAAUCGCCGGCCGAGCCCCACGCUCGCCCGCUUCGGCUGGGAGCCGAAGCCCGAACGGAGCCAAUCACGGACGUCGUUUGUUUGCGGCUCCUCCCGGAAAAAGCCGAUCAGCCUGAGAAACCAAUUAGAAAGUGACGCUGGGAAGCCACGCCCAAAGAGCGGAAAAUGCCGAAGGUAGCCGAACGGAAAGGGUGAAUUCGCCUUGUUCGGUGGCUGGCUGGAGGAGACAUUCGACAAUGGCAACAGUGGCCAAUCAGAGUCGCCGGCCCUUACGAAGAGGCUUGAAGAGUUGAGGACGGUGAAACCCAGAGACGCUGGUGAAACUGCACGGCUGGGCGCCGCCGCCGCUUUGUGAUUGGCUGGAAAACUCCGCUGGGAGCGUACCUCCUUCGGUGAUUGGUGAAGAGAAGGGGGCUUCCGAGGACAGUCUGGCCAGUCAGGACUUCCCCUCCCUCUCCAAGGUGGGGAGAAGAAAGCGAAGGGAGGGCGUCUAUAAAGCGCUGUCUCAUUGGCCUGAAGCUUAGGCGCUGGAGUUGGGGCAAAAGGGAGAGGGAGGGAGCCCGAAACUCGCGGCGGCGGCCAAUCGGCUCUCACUGCCGUCCAAUCGCAAGACCUAGCUGCAGUGUGAUUGGCCUUCGGCCCCGGUCCCAGGAGCGGGGAGAUGCCUGACUCGGGUCGUGGCUGACGACCCGACGGUUCGCCUGCGGCCGCCUCCAACAACGGUGGAAACCGCACACAGGGACCGCGGGCCCUCGGUGCAGCAAAUCGGAAAGUGCUGCGGUCGGCGGCCCUGGGCUCUGAGCGCUCAAGCGAGCAGAGGGGUGGAGGGGCUCUCCCCACCCACAGGAGGCUCUCGGCGGGGCGCAGCCAAUUCUGCGCGCCCAAGGCUCCCCUCUGCCGUGGAUCGCGUGUGCCGAGUGUUGGCCUCUUCCCCGAAAGGGCCAGACGGACCAAGGGGGCCUUCCCAGCCGGCUGCAAGCUCUCAGACGCUAAAAUGGGAACAAAGCUUCCAGAAAGGCAGCGCCUUUGGGCGGCCGCGCCCCGCCCAGCCGCGGGGGCCAUUGAUACAGAGGCUUGCUGCGCUUGGUGUGCGCGGCCCGGCCGGGCCUCUGGAAACGCCCAUGAGAAAUGAGCUCAUGCUGGAUGCGCGCGCUCCUUGGGCGCAACUGCCCAGCGCAAAACGGGCCCCGAAAGCAGGUGAGGGGAAAUGCCGUCAGGCCGGAUAUCCUGAAGCCUCCGAGGAAAUGGGGGGGUCAGAGGAGCCCGUGGUAGCUUUGGAUCUUUUGGAACUAGGGUGAUCUAUAAAAGUGCAGCUUGAGAAGAUUUCAUACAUAAGACCAGCGUCCAUUGUUCUACCAUAGAACCAGUUCCUUUGGUCUGCUUUAGAACAGUGAGGUAUGGCUACGUCAAGAUAACAGAGAAAGUAGAACAGACAGUUGCCAUCCUGAUUGUAAUCCAGUGGUGCCUGUAAUUUCUACCUGCAGAGUCAUCUCUUUCUGUUAAGAUGCUGUCUCCAGAAAGCACAUGUUAAAGGACCUAUAUUUGAUCAGAUUACCUGGCUCUUGCUUUGAAACACUGAUGAAGGACUUGGGACAGAACAAAGUAAGCUUUGAUGGAAGACAGGAAAGGUCUAGAUAGUGUUUGCAGAUUCAAAUGGCUACAGAGGCCAGACAAGUAAAGCAAAUGAGUGAGACUGGCCUUGUGUAAGACAAUGGGGAAUGAUAGGGAAAAUGGCAAAUUGGAAUAUCCAUGCCAUAACUAAAAGGAACAGCUGCUCAACUCUAGCAGAUUGUUGCCCUCAGGAAUGUGGGUCCAGUGUUCUCAGAUGUUCAAUUUUUUUCCUCCCAAAAGAAACCCCAAAAUUGGAUUUUUGUGUGAAAUCUCUGCAUUUUUAAAUGUUGGUAACCAAAUUUUCAAACCCUGCAGGCCAACCUAAAAACAUCCCUUGGCCAAUGAGGCAUUGGAAAAAGUGUUAAUAAUUGUUAGGGGCCCGAUAGCAGUAGGAGGGUGAAAACAAAAUGGUUUGGGACCUUAAAUAAUUGAAAUGUAUCUUUAUUUAUUUAUUUAUUUUUGAGACGGAGUUUCACUCUUGUUGCCCAGGCUGGAGUGCAGUGGCGCGAUCUCGGCUCACCGCAACCUCCGCCUCCCCGAUUCAAGUGAUUCUCCUGCCUCAGCCUCCCAAGUAGUUGGGAUCACAGGCAUGUGCCACCAUGCCAGCUACUUUUGUAUUUUUAGUAGAGACGGGGUUUCUUCAUGUUGGUCAGGCUGGUCUCGAACUCCCGACCUCAGGUGAUCUGCCUGCCUCAGCCUCACAGAGUGUCAGGAUUACAGGCGUAAGCCACCACACCGGGCCGGUUGAAAUUUAUCUUUAAAAUAGUGCACCUUUAAUCCUUUUUUUAUUUCUGUGUGUAUCUUAUAAUGUGCAUAUCAUGUUAGCUCAAGAUCAAGAGUUUAUGGACAAGCCAGGAGUGGUGGCUUAUGACUGUAAUCCCAGCAAUUUGGGAGGCCGAGGCAGGUGGAUCGCCUGAGGUUAGGAGUUCAAGACUAGCCUGGUCAUCAUGGUGAAACCCCGUCUCUACUAAAACUUUAAAACUUAGCUGGGCGUGGUGGCGGGCGUCUAUAAUACCAGUUACUUGGGAGGCUGAGGCAGGAUAAUUGCUUGAACCCAGGAGGUGGAGGUUGCAGUGAGCUGAGAUCGCACCAUUGCACUCCAGCCAAGGCAACAAGAGCAAAACUCCGUCUCAAAAAAAAAAAAAAAAAAAAAGUUUAUGAACCACUAGUUUAGACAAAGAAUAGUUGUACAGUUGUACAGAUGGAUAAGGAAGGAAAGAACAUUCCAGGCAAAGAGAAAAGGUUAUGCAAUGGCUGAAAUGUUUAACAAGGUAUUUGGAGACCUUGAGAUAGUUUGAAAUUAUGUAAUGUCUAAGAUGUGGGCCAAGAGAAAAUAAAGGAAAAUAUCACAGGAUAAUAGAGGAGUAAAGUAAACUAUGCUGUAUUAACUCCAUAUUAGGCAGCCAGUAAAAAUAAAUACAACCACCAAAAGUAACUCAGAAAUAUGUUUAGGAAACAAUACUAAUUGAAAAAUAUAGAACUUCAGGUUGUAUAUCUACCAUAUUUCCAAUCUGUAAAAUAUAAGUACAUUUGGAUCAAGAUUGGAAAGGAAGACAAAUUAGAAUAACUCGUCAAUAACAUAUUUAAAUAUAAAUGAAAAUAUUUAAAUGUCUUUGCUUAGUAUUUUUAUAAUAAAUUUCUAUUUUUUUACUUUUAUUUAUCUUUUAAUCUCACUGUUAUCCAGGAUGGAGUGCAGUAGCACAGUCAUAGCUCACUAUGGCCUUGAACUUCUGGGCUCAAGCAGUCCUCCCACCUCAGCCUCCUAAGUAGCUGGGAUUACAGGUGUAAGCCACUGUACCCCACCUCUGUGUUUGAUUUUAAGGGGAAUUGGCCCAAAAAAUAACAUUUAUAUUAUUUCUUCACUAUGAUUCACAUGUCCCUCAGAAGCCUCUAAUUACAAUGGAAUUCUUAAAAAAAAUUCACAUUUCUCAGCAAAGCUUUCCAACGAAAAUUUUUAUGAUAAUCCUUUGUCAUAUAAGUUAAAAUAGUAAAACUAGACAAUAGUGAGUAAGUAUUAUAUUUGAGACACCUGCUAGGCAUCUGAUAUAAGGUGGAUGAGAGGAUCAGUGUCCUUUGGGAGUUUACCCUCUAGGGAAGCAACUACAUGAAAAGUUAAAUAAAUUAUAAAAAUCACAUUUUGAAUUGAUAAAAGUUAUGAGACAGAACAUAAUUUGGUUUUUAUUUAUUUUUUUGAGACAGGGUCUCACUUUGUCCUCCAGGCUGGAGUGCUGCGGCCUCAACCUCCCAGGUUCAAGGGAUCCUGCUGCCUCAGCCCCCCAAGUAGCUAGGACUACAAGGGUGCACCACCACACCCAGCUAAUUUUUGUAUUUUUUGUAUAAAUGGGGUUUCGCCAUGUUGCCCAGACUGGUCUCAAACUCCUGGGCUCAAAAUCUGCGUGCCAUGGCUUCUCAAAACGCUAGGAUUACUGGCGUGAGUCACCAUGCCUGGCCUAUAAUUUGUUAAUAUGGUUGUUACUACAAAGUUUAAAAUAAAUUGCCCAUGCAUUCCUAUUUAUAAUAGGUGAGUGGAGGACACUUCAAUCUAAAGUGAUCUUAAAGGAGGAGUAGUAGGAUUUGAAGAUGAAGAAAGAAGAGGGGAGGUAAAUUACUUUCCAUCACUUCAAUUUCAACCCAUCAGAUAAAACCUCUCUUUAGUAAACCUGCAUGUGGGUGGAGCUGUAACAGCAAUUAAGGACAGUGUGACUCUGUUCUUCUGACUUUGGGAAAACCAGUUUGGCUGGAACAAAAAGCUGAUAGAGAAGACUAAUGGAAGAUAAGGUUGAAAAGGUAGGUUUGAGGGAGCUUUGUUACAGGAAAAAAAAAAAAAAAAAACUGGGCUUUGUCCUGUAGACAGUGGAGAGGUACUUUAGCAGAUGUAAGACAUUACCAUUAUAGGAAAGCCUCUGAAGUAACAUACACUGUGGUUUUUCCUGUUGCUGAAAAUAUGCCCAGAGUAACAAGAUGUGGCAUAGUUGGUUAUGUGUCUUAUAACCAGUGAGGUGUGCCCAAAUGGGAAAUUAAUGAAUGACUACCCAAAAAGAAGAGGGAGAGUGUUUGAAACACUGUCACUGUGAAAUAGACUGGUUGUAUGAAAAGUUGCAUAUCAAGCCUUUGGCAAAUUAUAUAAAUACUCUGAUUUUGACAUCUUAAAGGAGUAUACUAUAGAAAAUAAAAGAAAAACACUUGAAUCUGUUACAGGAAACGGGUCAUGAUCCAGACCCCAGGAGAGGGUUCUUGGAUCUCACACAAGAAAGAAUUCAGGGUGACCCCACAGUGCAAAAGUCAAAGCAAGUAUUAAGAAAAUGAAGGAAUAACAGAAUGGCUACUACAUAGAGCAGCCCUGAGGGCUGCUGGUUGCCCUUUUUUUUUUUUCCUUUGAGAUGGAGUUUUCGUUCUUGUUGCCCAGGCUGGAGUGCAAUGGCGUGAUCUCGGCUCACCACAACCUCCACCUCCCAGGUUCAAGCAAUUCUGCCUCAGCCUCCCGAGUAGCUGAGAUUACAGGCAUGCGCCACCACGCCCGGCUAAUUUUGUGUUUUUAGUAGAGUGAGGGUUUCUCCAUGUUGGUCAGGUUGGUCUUGAACUUCCGACCUCAGUUGAUCUGCCCGCCUUGGCCUCCCAAAGUACUGGGAUUACAGGCAUAAGCCACCGCACCUGGCCUGGUUGCCCAUUCUUUAUGGUCGUUUCUUGAUGAUAUGCUAACCAAGGAGUGGAUUAAUCAUGCCUCCCCUUUUUGGACCACAUAGGGUCUAAACUGUCAUGGCACAUUUGUAAACUGUCAUGGCACUGGUGGGAGUGUAGCAGUGAGGACGACCAGAGGUCACUCUCGUCGCCAUUUUGGUUUUGGUGGGUUUUGGCCAGCUCCUUUACUGCAACCUGUUUUAUCAGCAAGGUCUUUAAGACCUGUAUUUUGUGCUGACCUCCUAUCUCAUCCUGUGACUUAGAAUGCCUUAACUGACCAUCUGGGAAUGCAGCCCAAUAGAUUUCACCCUCAUUUUGCCCGGCUCCUGUUUAAGAUGGAGUUGCUCUGGUUCACAUGCCUCUAACAAAUCCUUUUAGUUUUUCAUGCUUGUCACAUGUUUACUUCUAAGGGUAUAAUCAUGUGGUUUACUAUAUUAUUACCGAUUAGAUUAUUUUGAACUACUUCAAUUUUAUUUAUUUUACCUCAUUUCCAUUCACAUUUUUUGAAAAGAGCUUUUUUAUACAAGAGUGUAAAUAUUUUCACAUUGAAUAAAUGAAUUGAAAACAGUAUGUGUUGAUUGAAUACUUGAAGUAUACUUCUUUACAGCAAAUUCUAGGAAUUCAGCUUUGUUUUAUGUGCAUUAAAAUGUAAUAAAUAUAGGCCUGAGAAAUUCUCAGAACAAAUAUUUUAGGCCCUCAGUAGCUGUAAAUCGGGAACGGUCAGAUUUCCUUCACAUGGAAAUGGGACUCACAUCUCUCAGAAUGGAACAGAAGUCUUUUGGUCUUUAAUCUAUGUCAUGUUGAUGGGAAAUGUGAAAGCUACAAGAAAAUUGGUAUUUGGUUUCUUGGAUAUUGAAUAUCCUUGGCCAGGGGUGCAGGGAAGUGAAAAAAAAGUAAGACCUCCUAUGGAUCAUCCAAAAAGGAAUUUCAGAAUGCAGAGAGGACUGGUCUCCCUUAAUCAGGCCAAAACUUUAUUUGAAUUGUAUCAGGAUGCUUCAUUCCUGUGCCCUGUAGGAUGGAAUCUUGAAAGAAAAUGGGAAGGAAUGUACAAAGCCUCAAGGAAUGUGUUUCUCUGUAACAUCUAGAUCAGACAGUAGUAUGAAGUGCCAGAUAUGAAACCAGAAAGGAUCCUUAUGAGAGUUUAUAGCUCAGUUUUAAGAUGUUUUACUAUCUCUGCUGUCUUAUUUUUUUAUUUUUAUUUUUAGAGAUGGGGUCUCGCUCUGCUGCCCAGGCUGGAGUGCAGUGGUGUGAUCAUAGCUCACUGCAACCUCAAACUCCUGGGCUCAGGUCAACCCUCCUGCCUCAGCCAUGCCCUGCCACUGCCCCCUUCCCCCGCAGUAGCUGGGGCUACAAGUGCAUGCCACCACACCCAGCUAUUUUAAUUACUUUGUAGAGACAGGGUCUUGCCAUGUUGUCCAGGCUGGUGCUGUUGUUCUUUAUUUUUACAAUGUAUAUUGUGUAUGCACUAGUAGUGUUCAGUACUUGAAGAUAAAAGUAGUAAUUUAGGAAAAAUAACCAUUAUUCCCCUAACUAAAUCUUGCUACUCUUAGGACCAGUUAGGAGUCUUAGGAAAAUAUCAACUCUGAUUGUUUUUUCUUUUCUGUUUGUUUGUUUUUAUUGUUGUUGUUAUUGUUUAGAUAAUUUGUUGCUCUGUCACCCAGGCUGGAGUGCAGAUGUGUGAUCAUGGCUCACUGCAGCCUACCUCCAGGGAUAAAGCAAUCCUCCCGCCUUAGCCUCCCAAGUAGCUGGGACUUACAGGCACACAACUGACCUAGCUAAUUUUUUUAUUUUUGUAAAGGCAGAGGUCUUCCUACGUUGUCCAGACUGGUCUUGAACUCCUGGCCUCAAGCAAUCCUCCCACCUUGGCCCCCAGAGUGCUGGGAUUACAGGUGUGAGCCACUAUACCCAG